rnacentral:rRNA from 1 species
UCCAGCCAUACCGCGUGGGUGAAGAAGGCCUUCGGGUUGUAAAGCCCUUUUGUUGGGAAAGAAAUCCUGUUGGUUAAUACCUGGCAGGGAUGACGGUACCCAAAGAAUAAGCACCGGCUAACUUCGUGCCAGCAGCCGCGGUAAUACGAAGGGUGCAAGCGUUACUCGGAAUUACUGGGCGUAAAGCGUGCGUAGGUGGUGAUUUAAGUCCGUUGUGAAAGCCCUGGGCUCAACCUGGGAAUUGCAGUGGAUACUGGGUCACUAGAGUGUGGUAGAGGGUGGCGGAAUUCCCGGUGUAGCAGUGAAAUGCGUAGAGAUCGGGAGGAACAUCCGUGGCGAAGGCGGCCACCUGGGCCAACACUGACACUGAGGCACGAAAGCGUGGGGAGCAAACAGGAUUAGAUACCCUGGUAGUCCACGCCCUAAACGAUGCGAACUGGAUGUUGGGUUCAACUUGGAACCCAGUAUCGAAGCUAACGCGUUAAGUUCGCCGCCUGGGGAGUACGGUCGCAAGACUGAAACUCAAAGGAAUUGACGGGGGCCCGCACAAGCGGUGGAGUAUGUGGUUUAAUUCGAUGCAACGCGAAGAACCUUACCUGGUCUUGACAUCCACGGAACUUUCCAGA